GAGUAACGCGUAUGCAACCUACCUAUCAGAGGGGAAUAACCCGGCGAAAGUCGGACUAAUACCGCAUAAAACAGGGGCACCGCAUGGUGCUAUUUGUUAAAGAACUUCGCUGAUAGAUGGGCAUGCGUUCCAUUAGGUAGUUGGUGAGGUAACGGCUCACCAAGCCGACGAUGGAUAGGGGAACUGAGAGGUUGGUCCCCCACACUGGUACUGAGACACGGACCAGACUCCUACGGGAGGCAGCAGUGAGGAAUAUUGGUCAAUGGGCGAGAGCCUGAACCAGCCAAGUCGCGUGAAGGAAGAAGGAUCUAUGGUUCGUAAACUUCUUUUGCAGGGGAAUAAAGUGCAGGACGUGUCCUGUUUUGUAUGUACCCUGAGAAUAAGGAUCGGCUAACUCCGUGCCAGCAGCCGCGGUAAUACGGAGGAUCCGAGCGUUAUCCGGAUUUAUUGGGUUUAAAGGGUGCGUAGGUGGUUUGAUAAGUCAGCGGUGAAAGUUUGCAGCUUAACUGUAAAAAUGCCGUUGAAACUGUCGGACUUGAGUGUAAAUGAGGUAGGCGGAAUGCGUGGUGUAGCGGUGAAAUGCAUAGAUAUCACGCAGAACUCCGAUUGCGAAGGCAGCUUACUAAGCUACAACUGACACUGAAGCACGAAAGCGUGGGGAUCAAACAGGAUUAGAUACCCUGGUAGUCCACGCAGUAAACGAUGAUUACUAGCUGUUUGCGAUAC
rnacentral:rRNA from 1 species